rnacentral:rRNA from 1 species
CUACGGGGUGCACCAGUGGGGAAUAUUGCACAAUGGAGGAAACUCUGAUGCAGCAACGCCGCGUGGAGGAUGACACUUUUCGGAGCGUAAACUCCUUUUAUAUAGGAAGAAGAUGACGGUACUAUAUGAAUAAGCGCCGGCUAACUCCGUGCCAGCAGCCGCGGUAAUACGGAGGGCGCAAGCGUUACUCGGAAUCACUGGGCGUAAAGAGCGUGUAGGCGGAUUAAAAAGUCAGAAGUGAAAUCCUAUAGCUUAACUAUAGAACUGCUUCUGAAACUCUUAAUCUAGAAUAAGGGAGAGGUAGAUGGAAUUUCUGGUGUAGGGGUAAAAUCCGUAGAGAUCAGAAGGAAUACCGAUUGCGAAGGCGAUCCACUAGAACAUUAUUUACGCUGAGACGCGAAAGCGUGGGGAGCAAACAGGAUUAGAUACCCCCGUAGUC